rnacentral:snRNA from 1 species
GUGCUUGCUUCAGCAAUAGAUAUGUUAAGAUUGGAACAAAAUUGAGAAAAAUAGUAUGACCCUUACAUAAGGAUAACAUGCAAAUUUGUGAAACAUAUCAUAGCUUU